rnacentral:snRNA from 1 species
GUGCUCACUUUGGCAGCACAUAUACUAAAAUUAGAACAAUACAGAGAAGAUUAGCAAGGCCCCUGUGCAAGGAUGGCACGCAAAUUUGUGAAGAGUUCCAUAUUUUU